rnacentral:rRNA from 1 species
UGGGGAAUUUUCCGCAAUGGGCGAAAAGCCUGACGGAGCAAUGCCGCGUGGAGGUGGAAGGCCUACGGGUCGUCAACUUCUUUUCUCGGAGAAGAAACAAUGACGGUAUCUGAGGAAUAAGCAUCGGCUAACUCUGUGCCUG